AUUGAACGCUGGCGGCAGGCUUAACACAUGCAAGUCGAGCGAGCGGCGGACGGGUGAGUAAUGUCUGGGGAUCUGCCCGAUAGAGGGGGAUAACUACUGGAAACGGUAGCUAAUACCGCAUACUAUCGGAUGAACCAAGAUGGGAUUAGCUAGUAGGUGGGGUAAAGGCUCACCUAGGCGACGAUCGCUAGCUGGUCUGAGAGGAGGAUCAGCCACACUGGAACUGAGACACGGUCCAGACUCCUACGGGAGGCAGCAGUGGGGAAUAUUGCACAAUGGGCGCAAGCCUGAUGCAGCCAUGCCGCGUGUAUGAAGAAGGCCUUCGGGUUGUAAAGUACUUUCAGCGGGGAGGCGUUACCCGCAGAAGAAGCACCGGCUAACUCCGUGCCAGCAGCCGCGGUAAUAC
rnacentral:rRNA from 1 species